rnacentral:rRNA from 1 species
AGACCGAUAGCGAACAAGUAGAGUGAUCGAAAGAUGAAAAGCACUUUGGAAAGAGAGUUAAAAAGCACGUGAAAUUGUUGAAAGGGAAGCGCUUGCAACCAGACUUCGUAGCGGUGUUCCGCCGGUCUUCUGACCGGUCUACUCAUCGUCGCGAGGCCAACAUCGUCUGGGGCCGCCGGAUAAGACCUAAGGAAUGUAGCUCUCUUCGGGGAGUGUUAUAGCCUGUGGUGAUGCGGCGCGUCUCGGGCGAGGUCCGCGCUUCGGCAAGGAUGUUGGCGUAAUGGUUGUCAGCGGCCCGUCUUGAAACACGGACCAAG